rnacentral:lncRNA from 1 species
GAACUUGGAUUCCGACAGUCCUACUGUGUGUUGUCUUCAUGCUUCUUCAAAGCACUCUGUUGUCCUGAUAGUCUAUGUUUAUCUUUGGUCAAUCCUCUUCCUCCUCCUCCUUAUCUUCCUCCUCUUCUUCCUCCUCUCCUUUAUCUUCCUCUUCCUCUUCCUCCUCCUCCUCGUCGUCGUCGUCGUCAUCAUCAUCAUGGCUCGUUCUCAAGGGUUUUUUUUCUAUGUAUAUGCAUUUUGGACACAUUGCUGUACAAAAGUACUCUAGGAGGUUGAGCCUCCCCUGUUGUGCUAGGUGUGGUGGAAAAGACCAGUAAUUCCAGCAGUCAAGGGGUUGAGGCAGGGUGACUGAGUUUGAGGUUAGUGUGGGGCUAGUCCUAUUUCAAAAAACUAAGACCGUGGGGUUGGGGAUUUAGCUCAGUGGCAGAGCACUUGCCUAGCAAGCACAAGGCAAGUCCCCAGCUCUGAAAAAAAAAGAAAAAAGAGAAAAGAAAAAAAAAAAA